rnacentral:lncRNA from 1 species
UAAAUGAAAAAAAUCCAAUUUUAAUCCUAAACUCACUUUUAGUCUGUAAGGUUCUUCCUCCAGAACGACAGUUCAAUUGAAUCCUUAUAGAAAAACUAAUCGUGUCUCCAUUUUGAAUGGAAAAAGUUGAUAUACAAGUUCGGAUAUGGAAGACAAGCUCAUUAUUAAAGAAGCACAGUUGGACAGAGGAAGAGGGAACAUAGGGAGGUAAAUUUUUUACUAUUUUCAGUGGCAGCUGUAUUUCUUUAUCUGGGCGUAUAGAAAAUGAGGUUUUUGUUUGGUUUUUAUGUGAUUGUGCACUGUUUGUAUUGAAAUAUUCGUAUAUUUUUAUCUUCAGUUGAGAAGUUAGUGAGAAAACCCCAACCCUAGUUUUUCCAGUGCUACCGUGAACUUUGAGGAUGAAGAAUUGUUCACUCCUGAAUGCCAGUUGAGUUUCAGACGAUGACAUGAACGGGGAUGAUUUUUGUAUGAGAAAAAUGCAGCAGAAUGUAUUGUGGUGUGAUUAAAUGCAAACCUUAGAGGCGUGUUU